CAAUAGCGUAUAUUAAAGUUGUUGCAGUUAAAAAGCUCGUAGUUGGAUUUGUGGCGUACGGUGUGUUCCGGGCACUUGUUGUCUGAGUAACCUGCUGUUGCCAUCCUUGGGUGGAACCUGUGUGGCAUUAGGUUGUCGUGCAGGGGAUGCCCAUCAUUUACUGUGAAAAAAUUAGAGUGUUCAAAGCAGGCUUAUGCCGUUGAAUAUAUUAGCAUGGAAUAAUGAGAUAGGACUUUUUUGCUAUUUUGUUGGUUUGCGCAAAGAGGUAAUGAUUAAUUGGGACAGUUGGGGGUAUUCGUAUUCCAUUGUCAGAGGUGAAAUUCUUGGAUUUUUGGAAGACGAACUACUGCGAAAGCAUUUACCAAGGAUGUUUUCAUUAA
rnacentral:rRNA from 1 species